rnacentral:rRNA from 1 species
UACAGAGGUCCCAAGCGUUUGUUCGGAUUCAUUGGGCGUAAAGGGUGUGUAGGUGGCGCCGUAAGUCGGGUGUGAAAUCUCGGGGCUUAACUCCGAAACUGCAUUCGAUACUGCGGUGCUUGAGGACUGGAGAGGAGACUGGAAUUCAUGGUGUAGCAGUGAAAUGCGUAGAGAUCAUGAGGAAGACCAGUGGCGAAGGCGGGUCUCUGGACAGUUCCUGACGCUGAGGCACGAAGGUCAGGGGAGCAAACGGG